CCUACGGGGGGCUGCAGUGGGGAAUUUUGGACAAUGGGCGAAAGCCUGAUCCAGCAAUGCCGCGUGAGUGAAGAAGGCCUUCGGGUUGUAAAGCUCUUUUGUUUGGGAAGAAAUCCCUAAGGAUAAUACCCUUGGGGGAUGACGGUACCAAAAGAAUAAGCACCGGCUAACUACGUGCCAGCAGCCGCGGUAAUACGUAGGGUGCAAGCGGUGAUCGAAAUUACCGGGCGUGGUGCGGGAACACGGGUGUGAAAUCCCCGAGCUCAACUUGGGAACUGCACUUGUGACUGCAAGACUAGAGUGUGUCAGAGGGAGGUAGAAUUCCACGUGUAGCAGUGAAAUGCGUAGAUAUGUGGAGGAAUACCAGUGGCGAAGGCGGCCUCCUGGGAUAACACUGACGCUCAUGUACGAAAGCGUGGGGAGCAAACAGGAUUAGAUACCCCAGUAGUC
rnacentral:rRNA from 1 species